UGAAAGGGAAGCGAAUCGUAUCCAGUGUCUAUAAUCCGUGGCAUAUUUCAUUGGCGAGUGUGUGCGUGCGGCGCGUAAGAAGUAGCUUGCUGCUCUUUGUGUUGUUCUGCGCUUGCUUGCUGGUGCCCUGUGUCGUGGUGGACGUCAGAGUCAGUUCGUAUGCUGCGGGAAAUGGCUAUCGAGGAGGUAGGUUAGGAGCUUGCUCUUGGCUGUUAUAUCUUGGUAUGCUAGUGGUCGUGGUUGGGACUGAGGUGCCUACAACGUGCUUUAAAGUCUUGCGGUGUCUUAUUUGGUUAACUGUUUGGAUAGCUUGCUAUGCCUAUGGCCUAAUCGAGUGAUGGAUACUGUAGGUAACUUUUGCCGUUCGGGACUUUGACGAAAUGGAGCGAUUCGGCCCGUCUUGAAACACGGACCAAGGAGUCUAACAUGUGUGCAAGUGUUAGGGUGUGGAAACCCCAGCGCGAAAUGAAAGUAAAGGGUAGCGUACGCUGCCUGAGGUAGGAAACCUUUGUUCUCAGAGGUGGCACUAUCGACCGAUCAUGAACCUUCGUGGUGAAAGAUUUGAGUAUGAGCACAUAUGUUGGUACCCGAAAGAUGGUGAACUAUGCCUGAGUAGGGUGAAGCCAGGGGAAACUCUGGUGGAAGCUCGUAGCGAUUCUGACGUGCAAAUCGAUCGUCAAACUUGGGUAUAGGGGCGAAAGACUAAUCGAACCAUCUAGUAGCUGGUUCCCUC
rnacentral:misc_RNA from 1 species